rnacentral:lncRNA from 1 species
UCGGCUCCUUAGUUAAAAUAUAACAAUAACAAGUAUUUGAUUGCUAUGCUAUUUACAUGUUAUCUUUAAAAAAAACAACCUUUUAAAUCUAAUAAUUUAAUCAGAUUAUAAAAGAGCUUACAAGUAUACAUACAAGUGCAAAUUUUAUAUCCUGCAUCCGUGAUCAAUCCAGCGGAGAUAGAAACAAUUGGUAAGAGUGGUGUAUUAAAGAAAAUUAUAAACACACAUUUCUUCGUUUAUUGUCAAAAU